GUGCCACUGCUCAGUGCACAGAGGUGAAAUAAAGACAGCGUGGAGACGUCGUCAUCUGGGGGACAAGGCUCGGUUUGGUUUAACACUGGUAGAAGGAGGUAUGCGUUGGCAAGCCUGGCAUCUGCAGCUGUGAGAAGAUGGAGAGAGGAGCCUGGUAGAGAGAGAAACCAGCACCCACAGGGGUGGGUCCCAGCGGCGGCAGCGAGCAGGUGCUGCCCCCAAGUGGCUCUGCAGACUGCACGCAUGCUUAAGGGGCCGGGAGCCACAAAACAGAUCACGUACUUAGACUUCCUGGUGUAAAUCAAAAGGAAAGCGUUGUUAAGAGAAUUAGGUCCGCAUACAGCAGAGGCAGCAUCCAUCAGGUGAGCCACUGGACUCCGCGCCUGCCUGCAACAAAGAGGCCUUUGACCUCUGAAUGUGGAGAAAGAAAACCCUGGCAUAAUCGCUGUUAGAACCGUAAAUGAAAAAGGACAAAUUGCAUUUACAGCGGCAAGAGAGGCCUCCUGGAGGACCUGAACGAUGAACUAGGCCACGGACAUUGAGUAGGUCAGACUGCAUGCUAGGCGGGAGUCAGUCUCUGAAGGAGGAUUUCCAAAGUUCCUUCAGAAAGAAGAAAAGUAAAGAUCACUUCUGCUGUUUUGAUGCUCUGCCCAAGUCCAAGAAGCCAAGUACUGAAUCCUCUGAAACCAUGAACCAAAAUAAACCCGACUUCAUUUUAAUUGUUUCUGCCAGGCAUUUGCUCACAGCAAUGAGAAAAGUUAUUAGAAUAGGCUAUGUGUGAACAUACUGUUCCAGUAGGCCUCACUUGAACAUUUCAGGAUGUAAGUGAGUGUAUCCAAGGAAGUGCACAUUCUUAUUUCUAUGCCACAAGACACCUCAUGUCCGGGUUCGUUGCUGUGAGAGUUUGCCAUGAGAUGAAAGGGCUAGGCAGGAGAAAGCAGCUCUCAGGCCAGAGCACACUUCAUGGAGCAAAUGAGAUCAUUUCAACCGGCCACAGAAUAGCUGGGUUUCUGCAGCGUGAGCAAGACACGCACUGACCUUUCGUGGUGCUGCAAAAGGAUCCCUGGAGAGACACAGGGAUCUUGGGAAAGGGGCUUUCCAACGGUCCGGGUGCUGCAUUUGUGGGUGAGAUCAAGAGCCAGCCUCAAUCCACUGGAGGAGCAUUAAAGCUAAACACUUGACUGGCCUGGGGUUCCAAAGAACGCAACAUCAGAAAAGAGAAGAUCAGCUAUCCAUGCUUUUCC